rnacentral:rRNA from 1 species
UACGUAGGGUGCGAGCGUUGUCCGGAAUUACUGGGCGUAAAGAGCUCGUAGGCGGCUUGUCGCGUUGUUCGUGAAAAUUUACCGACUCAACGGUGAACUUGCGGGCGAUACGGGGCAGGCUAGAGUACUGCAGGGGAGACUGGAAUUCCUGGUGUAGCGGUGAAAUGCGCAGAUAUCAGGAGGAACACCGGUGGCGAAGGCGGUUCUCUGGGCAAUAACUGACGCU